rnacentral:lncRNA from 1 species
GUUAGGGAUUUUAACUGAUUUUGUUUUUCUUAAAACUCCUUUCUUGAUGAUAGUUCUCAGGCAGCCCAAGUGGGGCCUGUUUAGGGCAAAUUGAGACAGCAAACCCUAAAAGGGGAGUCAAGGAAAGUUGAAGUCCAAGGAGAUUCUAUUAAUUCUAUUUUCAAGGUCUAUUCUGGUAAGAUUUCCCAGACAUUCAUCGCAGUAAUAUGAGAGCACAGUGGCCUGAGCUGGAAAUCACUCUCCCCUCCCACCGUUGUCCUGUCUCUGAAGGUCACAUUCACAUCUCUGGAACCUCUGGAAAAUUUUUCAAAACCCCAGAGUUUUCCAAAGUGCUGACUUGGGGAGCUGGAAUGCGUGGUGAACAUUUAUAGAACCUUUCCACAAGUUUCCUAUUCAUGUGGUGAGACAGUCAGUAUGGAUGAAGUGAUCGUAUAAAGCCCUGAUUCUUGCCUCGUUACAAAAUCACCGCCUCAGCUACACACAGAGCCAGCACACCUGGGGCCUCACAGGGUAUCGGGGGAGAGGAGGGUGGAAAGACAUCAACAGCCACUGUGGUUAAUGAGCACCUACAUUUUGGGAGGCCUACACCCCAUGUGUGAGCUCGAGCAGCUGAUCUUCAAGGUCACUGUGCCGGAGUGGACAGUGUGGUUGAGAUGGACCUCUGGGGUCAGAGGUUCAAAGCCUGCCGUCAACAGAUGUGUGUUAACGUCCUUGAGAGACUCACUUGGCCUCUUUGGGCGUCUUAGCUGUGGAAUGAGGGGGAAUGCCAGGCUCACAGAGUUGCUGACUAGACUUGAAAGAGAAGGAAAAUAACACAUGUGAGCGCUUGCCUCAUCCCUUCACACCACCCUCAACCCCUACAACUCUGAAAGUGGUUCUCGUCAUUUCAUCGUUCACCUGGAGACCCAGUUUCAGUGAAACUACAGAGCAGUGAGUAGGGAGUGGAGACAUGACUGAGCGCCAGGACUGUCUGACUCCAAGUCCUGUGUCAUUUCUGCUACUCCAAGGUACUCAGAGGGCAGUUCGUCUCAGGAACAAUGCACUGAGCAUCCGUGUGUUGGAUACUGCGGCGGGCUUGGGAGUAAAAGAUGAAGAUGACAUGGUCCCUGCUCUGGAGGGAGUCACUCUCACAGGCUGGACAGACCCACAGAGAGACACUUUCAGCAGGCACAGCAAUGGGGGAGAGGGGAGGAACAGUAGGGCUGGGAAUGGGAGCUUCUCCACCCUGAGGGGAUGUCUCCAUGGGCUGAGACUUGAGGAUGAGUGA